UAUGUCGAUGCUGGUGAAGAUUAAAUCGUUUGUUUGUUUGAACUGGUUCCAUAUUGGUGGGAUGCCAGAAGGCCAUUACGGCUUAAUCGCGUACUGGUAGGCAUUCUCCCGGAUGACCUUAACCGGCUGUUGGGAGCUGGCGGCAUCUUUACGUUGAAUAAAUUUUUGCUCUCAAGACGGGCCUUUAUACCUGGAAAUUUCUGCAUGAAAUAGUGAAAUAGGACUUCAGUUCUAUUUCGUUAGUUUUCGGAUACGAAGUACUGGUUAAGAGGGUUAGAUAGGGGUAUUUAUAGGGCGGUGCGAAAGAUAAAAUUCUGGGAUCACAACCAGAAGAACUACCACGAAAACACUUGCAGAAAAAUAUUUUCAUUAAUCAGGAGCGAAAGUCAUAAUUUUGAAGUCGACCAUAUACCAUCGUAGCUCUGGCGACGAACGAUGUUAACUGACUAUGAUUAUAUGAUUGACAUCGCGGUCAGAUCCCAGCAAGACUUUAGGCCUUUGGGCUUCGGAGGAAGUAUGGUUGCAAGGCUGAAACUUAAGGGAAUUGACGUAAGAGCACCAGCAGAAAUUAAUCCCUAGGUUCAAUUGGAGUCAACGGGGGAAAAACCACCUUACACAGACGCUGUGAAGACUGACAGAUUGACAGCUGAUUUUUGAUUUGGUGGGUAGUAGUGCAUGGCUGCUCUUAUUUGGUGAGCGAUAAGCUUCGUUAGUUCCAAAAAUGAUCGACACUUUAGCUGACUAAAUAAUAGAAUGGUCCUCUGUGCUCGCUCAGGGCGCGGCUUCCAUUGCUUCUUUAUGGAGUAGUAUAGUAGUGAUCCGGAGGGUACGCUACCAGUUUUUAAUUAUUAGGGAGACAGAUGGCACAUUGAAGUCGAGUGAAAUUGACCAAUAACAGGUCUAUGAUAUUCUUAGAUAUCUGGAGCCAAAAGUACGCUACACUGACGGUCCAAGAGAGUUUGGGAAUCUGGCAGGAAAGGGUUGGGCUAAUCGUUUCAUCACCGUCGUGUCUGGGACCGUGGCUUGCAGUUAUUCUCCGUGGACGGGUAAUUCCCAGUAAGUGGAUGUCGUAAGCCUGUGCUAACUACGCCAUUGCCCUUUAUAUGCACCGCUCGUCUCUAUUACUGAUUGAAUGAUUUAAUGAAGCCAUUGGAUUGGUGUCUUCUCAGUGACUAGACUGAUGCCUAGAAGACGACUAAACUUGACUAUUUAGAAUAAGUAAGGGUCAUAAUACGGUUUCCUUAGAUGAACCUGAAGAAGAACAUUU
rnacentral:ncRNA from 1 species